CGGGUGAGUAAUGUAUGGGGAUCUGCCUGAUGGCGGGGGAUAACUACUGGAAACGGUAGCUAAUACCGCAUAAUGUCUACGGACCAAAGCGGGGGACCUCCGGGCCUCGCGCCAUCAGAUGAACCCAUAUGGGAUUAGCUUGUAGGUAAGGUAACGGCUUACCUAGGCGACGAUCCCUAGCUGGUCUGAGAGGAUGAUCAGCCACACUGGGACUGAGACACGGCCCAG
rnacentral:rRNA from 1 species